rfam:Physcomitrella patens subsp. patens PHYPAscaffold_78 genomic scaffold, whole genome shotgun sequence.
AGGCUGUGAUUAGAAACUACCCGCGCUUCUGAGAGGAAACUCAGUGAAGCAAAGAGAUAACAUGGUUAAAUUUCUUUAGAUGAGCCU